UACGUAGGUGGCAAGCGUUGUUCGGAAUUAUUGGGCGUAAAGGGCGCGUAGGCGGUUUGUUAAGUCAGCUGUGAAAGCCCGGGGCUCAACCCCGGAGGGUCAGCUGAUACUGGCAGACUAGAGUACAGAAGAGGUAACUGGAAUUCCCGGUGUAGCGGUGAAAUGCGCAGAUAUCAGGAGGAACACCGGUGGCGAAGGCAGCUCACUAGGCCUGGAUUGACGCUCAGGGACGAAAGCGUGGGGAGCAAACAGG
rnacentral:rRNA from 1 species